UACGUAGGGCGCAAGCGUUAUCCGGAAUUAUUGGGCAUAAAGAGCUCGUAGGCGGUUUGUCGCGUCUGCCGUGAAAGUCCGGGGCUCAACUCCGGAUCUGCGGUGGGUACGGGCAGACUAGAGUGAUGUAGGGGAGACUGGAAUUCCUGGUGUAGCGGUGAAAUGCGCAGAUAUCAGGAGGAACACCGAUGGCGAAGGCAGGUCUCUGGGCAUUAACUGACGCUGAGGAGCGAAAGCGUGGGGAGCGAACAGG
rnacentral:rRNA from 1 species